rnacentral:rRNA from 1 species
GACAGAGGUGCCAAGCGUUAAUCGGAAUUACUGGGCGUAAAGCGUGCGCAGGCGGUUUUGUAAGCCAGAUGUGAAAUCCCCGGGCUUAACCUGGGAAUGGCAUUCGGGACUGCAAGGCUUGAGUGCGGCAGAGGAGACUGGAAUUCCUGGUGUAGCAGUGAAAUGCGUAGAUAUCAGGAGGAACACCGAUGGCGAAGGCAGGUCUCUGGGCUGACACUGACGCUCAUGCACGAAAGCGUGGGGAGCAAACAGG